CAGCUUCGGUUUGAGGGGUGUCUGAGGACCUGAGUCCGGCCCCCGCGCCGGGCCAGCCCACCACCCGGCAGCCCCGGGGUCUCCCCUCCUCCCCGUCCCGCCCCUCGCGGUCCCUCGGCAGCCCCGUGGCUGCUGUCAUCCUCCUUCGGGCUGCCCUGAAAUGGGAAGAGGGACUUGCGGUCGCCUCCCCGCCAGAACGCAGGCUCCAGGAAGGCAGGAGCCUGUCCCCCUGUCUCCUCAGGGCACACCACGCGCCUUGGCUGAAGCCACCCUAGUGGACCCUGUAGGCGGCCACCCAGAUGCUUCUCGGCCUGAAGCCGGCUCCACGAGCAGCACUGGUCCUUGCCGGCUCCGGGGUCAUUUCCUCUCCGGGGAGAGGAAAUCAAGGGCCUUACCUCAGCCCUCCUCCCCAGGAGAGUCCGCCUCCGAGGACUGAUACCAACCCACUUCCCAGGAACCUCCACCCACUCGGGCUGCUCCUGGGAGUGGUCUGAGGAAGCAGCCCCUAACCUGAGGUUUCCACGUUGAACCACCCACUAGCCAGGUGCAUUGAACCCCCAUGAUGGGAAGAGAGCCUGCAGAGAGUCUGGACUCCCUGGGCGUUCUGCGUGAUUCCCUGUUGCUCCAACACCUUGCGGAUUUCAUACUAAUUAAACUGGAUGAGCCAGAGGACAAUGCACCAGGGGCUCUGGUGAGACACGUGCUGCAGAGGGCGGGAGAGAGCCUACGAAGGGCCGGGGGCCCGCUGCGUCCGUGUGUAGGAGUCCAGCGGUUCGGAGCCCAACACUCACCUCCUCCAAAGAAAAGACAGACCCUGCAUUUUGCACGCCCCUCCACGAAGAAGGCCCUGCAGGCCUGGUGGCUUCCUCAGAUGCUGGAGGCAGCACGCGCCGUUCUUGGAAACACUGCCCAGACCACAGUGUGUAAUGACAUCCGCAAAGCCCCUCCGGCCCACGUACCCUAACAUCUUCGUAGGUUUGGGGGAUUAGGACGUGAACACCUUUGGGGGCCAUCAUUCUGCCCGCCACCCUGGAGCAGCCCACUGGGCUGUGCAUUUUGUGUAGAAAGAGAAGUGACCUGAGCGUAUUCACACCCCUGGACAGCGACAGCAGGCGACAACAGGCAACAACAGGUGACAGCUGGCGGCAGCAGGCGACAGCAGACGGCAGCAGGCUUGGCUGUGGGUUGGAAUCAGCACGCCUUUCCUGUGGGCCGUGCAGUGAGCACCGUGGUGGCCGGGUCACAGGACCACACGGGGCCCAGAGGCAUGAUGCCUACCCCAAAAGGCCGACCGGUUACAGCAGCAGCUGAAGUUCCACCCAGCAGCACCCGAAAGCAGAGUUAGCCUCAUUCUAGCACCUUCCCUGGAGGAAUCCCGCAGCCCUCGGUGGAAAGUUGGCCCAAAGGGGAGCCGUGCUUCCUCCUGACUGAAUCGGCGCCUUUUCCAAGCGUGGAUUUCUUCUCCUGCCCUGCUGCUCCCUCUCUGAGGGUUACGAGAAUGUUCCACGUCAGAUCUGGAAGCCCACGCCCUAUUGCUCCAGACCAAAGGAUCUACCUGACAGCAAAGGAGGUGUGAGCUGGGGCUCGUCAGCCUGGGAGUCUUGGAGUCUGUUUCCC
rnacentral:lncRNA from 9 species